rnacentral:rRNA from 1 species
GAUGAACGCUGGCGGCGUGCCUAAUACAUGCAAGUCGAGCGAACGGACGAGAUGCUUGCUUCUCUGAUGUUAGCGGCGGACGGGUGAGUAACACGUGGAUAACCUACCUAUAAGACUGGGAUAACUUCGGGAAACCGGAGCUAAUACCGGAUAAUAUUUUGAACCGCAUGGUUCAAAAGUGAAAGACGGUCUUGCUGUCACUUAUAGAUGGAUCCGCGCUGCAUUAGCUAGUUGGUAAGGUAACGGCUUACCAAGGCAACGAUGCAUAGCCGACCUGAGAGGGUGAUCGGCCACACUGGAACUGAGACACGGUCCAGACUCCUACGGGAGGCAGCAGUAGGGAAUCUUCCGCAAUGGGCGAAAGCCUGACGGAGCAACGCCGCGUGAGUGAUGAAGGUCUUCGGAUCGUAAAACUCUGUUAUUAGGGAAGAACAUAUGUGUAAGUAACUGCGCACAUCUUGACGGUACCUAAUCAGAAAGCCACGGCUAACUACGUG